rnacentral:tRNA from 1 species
GCUGGGAUGGCGUAAUGGUAGCCGCGCCAGUUUUAGGAACUGGUGGAGUAAUCCGUGGAGGUUCGAGUCCUCUUCCCAGCA